AUUGAACGCUGGCGGCAUGCCUUACACAUGCAAGUCGAACGGCAGCGGACCUUCGGGUGCCGGCGAGUGGCGAACGGGUGAGUAAUAUAUCGGAACGUACCUUUCAGUGGGGAUAACGUAGCGAAAGUUACGCUAAUACCGCAUAUUCUGUGAGCAGGAAAGCAGGGGAUCGCAAGACCUUGCGCUGAUUGAGCGGCCGAUAUCAGAUUAGCUAGUUGGUGAGGUAAAGGCUCACCAAGGCGACGAUCUGUANCGGGUCUGAGAGGAUGAUCCGCCACACUGGAACUGAGACACGGUCCAGACUCCUACGGGAGGCAGCAGUGGGGAAUUUUGGACCAAUGGGCGCAAGCCUGAUCCAGCCAUGCCGCGUGAGUGAAGAAGGCCUUCGGGUUGUAAAGCUCUUUCGGCCGGGAAGAAAUCGCACAGGGUUAAUACCCUGUGUGGAUGACGGUACCGGAAUAAGAAGCACCGGCUAACUACGUG
rnacentral:rRNA from 1 species